UACGUAGGGUCCGAGCGUUGUCCGGAAUUAUUGGGCGUAAAGAGCUCGUAGGCGGUGUGUCGCGUCGGCCGUGAAAACCUGGGGCUCAACUCUGGGCGUGCGGUCGAUACGGGCAUCACUUGAGUUCGGCAGGGGAGACUGGAAUUCCUGGUGUAGCGGUGAAAUGCGCAGAUAUCAGGAGGAACACCGGUGGCGAAGGCGGGUCUCUGGGCCGAUACUGACGCUGAGGAGCGAAAGCAUGGGUAGCGAACAGGG
rnacentral:rRNA from 1 species